GGGACAACAUUCGGAAACGGAUGCUAAUACCCCAUAGGUGGAUUGGUCGCAUGACGAAUUCGUUAAAGGUGGCUUUGCUACCACUCAUGGAUAGCCUCGCGGCGUAUUAGCUAGUUGGUAAGGUAAUGGCUUACCAAGGCAGUGAUACGUAGCCGACUUGAGAGGGUGAUCGGCCACACUGGGACUGAGACACGGCCCAG
rnacentral:rRNA from 1 species